rnacentral:misc_RNA from 1 species
UUUUUUUUUUUUUUUUUUCUUCCCUGUAAGCCAGAGGCCUGUGGGGUGUGAAUGCACCUGGGAACUUUGAAUAAUUGAGAGGCUUAUGCAUCAUUUGUUUACCACACCGGGGGAUAGUACAGUCAUUUAUGUUGUGGGAGUCUGGUAGAUUUUGCUUGCUAGCAAUUUUAUUCUGUAGAUGAGAUUUUGGUCAAUUAAGUACAUAUGUUUUGAAACACGUUCCCUUAGGGGAGUGAUUUGUAUCCUGACGUUUUUUGCUGUAUGAUUUGUUUGAAUGCAUGGGCAAUUUGAAGUUGGUUUUGACUUUUGGGUUGGCUGAAUAUACAUUUCUUGUCCGGAAGCAGCAUGGAUAUCGGAUAAUACCUUCAUAACAUUUUUUCUUCCCCAGUAACGGGAGGAAAAGUCAUGCAUUUGUGUUCCAG